rnacentral:lncRNA from 1 species
GUCCGAGGACGCUAGCUUGGAAGCAUUGUGUUUUCAGGUUUGAGUCUUGUGCUUGCAGCCAGGUCGGCAGAUGUCUUCUUGGCCCUCUGGGUUUAGCCCUGCAUCUCAGUGGACGCACUGAGACGUAACCGUAACUUGGAAAUGGGGCUGUUGGCCUUUGGUUGUUAUGUGCUUUUGUCAUUUCCAUCCCUAAAUGAACCUGUGCUUCCCAGAUUGCUUUGAUGGUGAUCACAGCUUUGAGGACAUAGGACUUGCAGCUGGCCGAAGCCAACGAGAAAAGAAGCGGUCUUACAAAGAUUUCUUAAGGGAAGAGGAGGAAGUUGCUGCGCAGGUCAGGAGUUCUUCCAAGAAGAAGUCAAAGGUCAGUCCCAGAUGUCUGUCAAAGCCGGGAUCCCAGAAGAAUGGCUCCAAACCGUCCCCUCGCCAUCUUAUUAGUCGCCAAUUCUUCUCUUUAACCACAGGACAGUGAUCUGUUCUUCUUGGGGACGGACACACACAAGAAGAAGAGGAAGCACUCCCCCGAUGAUUUCUACUAUGGAGACAUUUCGACUUUGGAAUCAUCACAGAAGAAAAAGAAGAAAUCUAGUCCACAGUCUCCUGACACAGCAAUGGACCUGUUGAAAGCUAUCACCUCCCCGCUGGCAGCAGGGGCCAAGUCCUCUAAGAAGGCAGGGGAGAAAUCCUGCAGUUCUUCAAGCCAUUCAGAGAGCAGAAAGGAACACCACAAGAAGAAGGGCA